rnacentral:rRNA from 1 species
GACGAACGCUGGCGGCGUGCUUAACACAUGCAAGUCGAGCGGUAGGGCCCUUUCGGGGGUACACGAGCGGCGAACGGAUGAGUAACACGUGGGUGACCUGCCCUCAGCUCUGGGAUAAGCCUGGGAAACUGGGUCUAAUACUGGAUAUGACUCCACGGUGCAUGUCGUGGGGUGGAAAGCCUUGUGCGGCUGAGGAUGGGCCCGCGGCCUAUCAGCUUGUUGGUGGGGGAUGGCCUACCAAGGCGACGACGGGUAGCCGGCCUGAGAGGGCGACCGGCCACACUGGGACUGAGACACGGCCCAGACUCCUACGGGAGGCAGCAGUGGGGAAUCUUGCGCAAUGGGCGAAAGCCUGACGCAGCGACGCCGCGUGAGGAUGACGGCCU